GCCUCAGUGGUGUAGUGGUAGAGCACGCGUCCCCGUAUGGGAUGGAACGUGGGCCCGAUUCCCGCCUGAGGUC